ensembl:lncRNA
AGCAGCUGUGUUUGAAUUCUGGUUCCCAUAAUGACAGGCUAGGUGAGCAAGUCAACAUCUAAAGCCUCCAUUUCUGCAUCUGAAUCGAGAGUCAUCUCCUUGCUACCUUCAUCAGUGCCGUUGUAAAGAAACGUCUUUGGGGGAGGAUGUUGUAUUUCACAGAAAAAAAUUAGGAAAUGCUGAUACAACAGAGCUUAAGCUGUGUUAUAAUCUCCAGUAUUCAACGAAGACAACGCAAUCCUGCCACCCACAAGCCAGCAACAAACAACUCGCCUGAAAGCUCAAGGUCUGCCUGAUUGCACUUGGAGCAACUGGCGUGUCCAUGUGCACCCAACUGUAACUGGCGCUGGUAACCAUAUUCAACCUGAUAUAAGCAGUCUGGAGAAAGGGCUGAUAAAACAAGAUCUUUGAUAUAAGAAAACUUGACUGGUUCUGCAAGGCUCCCUGAUAAGUGCAAGAAUACUGGAAUGUGUUGCCAUGCCCGCCUCCAGGGGAUCUUCCGUAACCAGGGAUCAAGCCCACGUCUCUUGUGACUCCUGCAGGGGCAGGCAGCUUCUUUACCACUAGAGCCACGUGGAAAGCCCUAAAAUAACAUGGAAAGUGUUAAAAUAAGUGUCUAAUGAAAUUUAAGCCAAACAAGGCCAUUUACCCUGUAGCUCUUCCUUUAACACCUCUGGUAUUCUUAACUAUAAACUAGAGAAAAUUAACUAGUUCCUAGAGAAUAUUUUUGGUUCCUUCCAGCUCCAUGAUUUGGAAAAAAAAUGACUUUUUUUUUUUUCUCUUUUUCACUCUUACUGCUCUUCCGAGCCUCCUCUCCAGUAAACUCCCCUGUCCAGUGGAAGAUAAAACAAGCUCAAGAAUUUCAAAAGGAGAGGUCAGGACGAAUGGAGGAAGGAGCAUCAACAUAGAUGCACUCCCACGUGCAAAGCAGAGAACAGUACAAGAAAGUCAAAAGAACAACUUUUGAAGCAGUACAGUGUGACCGACUGUGGGGGACAGAACUGCCUUCUGCCAAACUCCCUGUGCCUCCCCACCUCCUUGGGGAGAAGAGGCAGAGCUUGGAGUGAUGGUGCACGUUCAAUGCAUGUGAUGCUUCUUGGUAAGUAACACAGUAGAAUGAAUUCAUGUUUCCCAAGCCUGGCACCACGAAUGACCUCGAGAGAAUAGAACAGAAGACAGAGACAUCUUUACACGAGCAGAGUGGCAGAAGAAACACGGCUUGAUAAAGUUUCUAAGCAUGGGAUGCUAUCAGCAGAAGAAAGAGCAUCAGGGCGGGAAGCUGGAGAAAAGGGUCCCUGGGAGACUUGUGGAACGGGAUGCUGGGGGAGAAUGAAUGGCUAUGAACCAUCAGUGUUCAAAGGACCUCAGAGAGCACCUGAGCUUCCCACCCUCCUGUUCAAUAUCAUUUUUCAUGAAUUAUUGCCAACACACACACAGACACACACUCUCUCAGUCACCUAUGAUACUUGUUGUACAGCACAUUAUGAUACCGGUUGCAUUUUCUUUUAAAAAUACUAGAAAUCCAGAAAUGGUUUAAGACAAAUGUGAGCUUUAAGAAUUUACUGUAUCCAUGAAUAGUUGAAAAAUAAUAACAUAUGUAUCUGAGACAAAUACACGUCAGUUUGUUUCAACCGGCGAAGAUAGAACAGCACACUCUUUAGAGACACCAACAUACGUGAUGAUGAGAUUCACAGUGCCCUGUCAGUGUGCAGUACAAGUGACGCUCACCUUAAGUAGUGCCCUUUUGCUGUUUAGUUGCCAAGUCAUGUCUGACUCUGUGACCCCAUGGAUUGUAGCCUGCCCCUUCCCUGUCCAUGGUAUUUCCCAGGCAAGAAUACUGGAGUGAGUUGCCAUUUCUUACUCCAUGGGAUCUUCCCAACCCAGGGCCUGAACCUGCGGCUCUUGUGUCUCCUGCAUUGGCAGGCUGCUUCUUCACCACUGAGCCACUCUUUAUAUCUAGACUAUAGGUUUUUUGUUUCUUUAAAUAUUCGUUUUUUAAUUUAUUAUCUGGCUAUGUCGGAUCUUAGUUGCAUUAUCCAGGAUCUUCCUGUGAGGCGAAUGGACUUGAGUUUUGGCAAGGGGGCUUAGCUGCUCUGCCUCAUGUGGGAUCUAAUCCCCGACCAGGGAUCAAACUAGAGUUGCAAGGCAGAUUCUUUACCACUGGACAACCAGGGAAGUACUGUCUAGACUAAUGUUUAAGCUUCCCCAAUGACACUGCCCCAGGUUCCCUCUUCCCCAGUCAUCCUGAAGCCACUGGUUGAAUCACUGCAAACCUCGGAAAAACUCUGGGGCUCUUAAGAGUAUUUGUGAAUAUUGAUGAAUUGAGCUUGUUUUCAGUGGGAAUGUUAUCCAGAUGGAAUUAUCUUUUAAGAUCCAUCCUAUGCAUUAUAUGAGAAUGAAGAAUUUUACUUCCAGUUGAGUCUCC